CCACUUAAUAAUUAAAACUUGAAUCACUUUUUCUCAACCACUAGCUACCGACACCCUAACCCCCCCCCCCCCCUUCCCAGUUUUUGUUCAUUUUUUCAAAUAGACCUGUGCCAAAGUCUUCUCUCCUAGCUCUAGCCAUGUCAGAGGUACUGUUCACCUCUCCCAUCCACGCCCCUUCAUCUUUUCUCACACGAAAUGGCCUCAAAAGCCUUCAAAUCGGCUGAAAAUAUGACGAAUCCCAGAGAACUUGGGGAUUUGAUGGGCAAUAUCAAAAUUUUCAACCAAAAUCAUCAAUUCUUGUACUUGUUGGUUGUUCCAUUUUUUUUUACCGAACCCUCACCCCCACCUUGGAUGAUUUUCAAAUUUCAAUUACCCUCUUGUUUUAGUAUAAAUACAUGGUCUUGGUGACCAUCUAGACAGAGAUUGAUCUCCCCAACAAAUCUGAAUACAAUUACUUCUUUUGUUCUCUGAUUUCUCAGUUCGGAUUUCUCUUCUUUAUUCACUCUUCUGCUUUGUUUCUAUUUGAAUACUAAAACUUGGGUGUUGUGGUGAAAGUAGGAUUCAUCAUCGACUUAGCCUCAGUCGUUGCACACAAACAAGUUGAGGAUAACAAGAAUGUGGGGUAACAUGUAUCCCAAUAUGCUGAUGCCAGUGGAGGACGAUGAUGACUCUGAGCAGUACUCCUUCGAGAGCGUGCCCCAGGAGGAUGGUGACCAGGGUGGAUUUGAUGAUGUUGGUGGUGGCGGCUCGGAUGAUGAUGGUGCGACUAGCAUGCUGUCGGCCGAGAGAUUCCCUUUUCCCCCUUUUAAUUAUGCUUGGUUGCCCUUGUAGGGCCUUUUAUUUUUGCAGACAAUCUUUUUAUUUGGUUUGCCUUGUUGGCUUGGAUGUUUUUGGAAACAAUUUCUGUUGGUUGUGGUUAGCCUUGUUUGGGCUUAAUAUGCGGAUAUCUUGUUGGAAUAUUGGACUAUUUGGUUCCUGUUUUGGUAAUAGUAGUUGGGUUUGCAGUA